AACCGGAAGCGUAGGCAGGAAAAAUUAGUUUAAAUAGUUCUAAAACAAGCUUUUGUGCGAUUAAGCUUUUAUAGCUUCGAAACACAGUGCCGUACGAACAAAUCGCGACGCAUGCACCAUAGAGGACGCCAUUACACCAAAUUACAGACAACCAAAUGUAGGACAUUACACACAAUAACAAAGACACAAAAUCCUAUCCCUUUGAAGAAGGUUAAAUAAAAUAACCGAAACGUCGGACGUAGGAGCAA
rnacentral:lncRNA from 1 species